ACCUGUUGGAAGUAUCUCAAGCCAUUCCCUUGUGUUGACUGAUCAUCUAAAUAGAACCCACAAAGUGUCUUGGAUGAUACUCAAGCUUCAAACAAAAUAUGUUAGUGACACAUUUUUGUGCUUUUGGUUAGUAAACAAAAGUAAGAGAAACAAUGAUGUAUAAUUCAAGCAUGCUUGGUGAUCUCAAACAAAUCACAAGG
rnacentral:lncRNA from 1 species